AACGGUCUCUCUGGGCACUCCUCGCCGUGGCCUCUCUUGGCCCGCGGCGUCGCUGCAGCCGACCUUUCGGCGCUGGAAAUGGCCGCCCAGAAUGUCUUCCGGCGUGGUGACCUCUCGGGGUCCAACAAGAGCUGUGACACUGACACGCCGCCGCCCUCAACCUCCGAGGCAUUGUCAAACUUGGGCGGCCUUCUCAUCGCCGGCUGGGUGGUGGCCGCUCUGGUGGUCGUGCUCCAGCUCGGCCUGUUCGUCCGGCUCCGUCGGAUCGUCAGCAAAGCAGCGCCCGAGGGGUGGCGCAAUGCUAUCUACUGGCAAUACUCGAUCUUUCCGUUUUCUACCCUGCUGGCGCUGGGGACUCUCGUCGUUCCAGGGUCUUACAACUUCCUACGUAGUUUAACACCGAUAUGGGUCUACAUCGCGGCGUCCAAGUUCGUGGAGCUGACCGUGCGGAUGCUUGACGGCGAGGAAAACAUCCUAGCCCUCGUCGGCGAGAAGCGCUUCCCAUUGGCAUCGUACCCAUUCAGCGCCUGCAGCCCGCACAGAAAACUGAGCUGGAGACUACUCCGCUCCAUGCGGCGGGCUGUGGGUCAGGCGCAGUACUUGCUGGCCGCGGCGGCCGUCACCACCGUAUUUUUGGAGUAUGCGGGCGUGAUAGAGCGCAACCAGGCGAAUCCCGGCAAGAUAUCCAAGUUGCUCACCGCCAUCGGUUUCCUCUCGCUCCUGCUUGGCUUGGCUGGCCUGCGGAUGUUUACUAACCUAGUCGGCUCACUCAUGCCACCGGGUCAUCACUACGAGGUUCCAUCCCUAGUGCUAAAACUGGCAGUCUUCACGAGUAAGCCACAAAUACUGAUAUUCAACAAAGCCUUCAUGUUCAGCACGAAGACCUGCAUCUCUUCAACGUCGCCGUGGGUCUACGCAGGCAUCGUGGAGAGCAUUGUCUUAUCGGUUGAGAUGCUUCUGUUCAGUCUGCUGGUCUACCGGACAUACAGUGACGUGGACCAAUACAGCAGUGAAGAGAGCAAACAAAAUCCCUGCCGGGAGUGAUCCUGGCUCCCCUGCGAUCGCUGACGAAGAGGAGCCACCAAGCAGCGGACCAAAUCAUCUGCUUGCAAGGUACUGCGAGGUGCAAUGCAAAACUACGGCUUUUGCAUUAAGCGCGCCUAGCCUACAGCGGUGUUGAUGGGAACUGAGGUGCAACACCUGAAGUAACGGCCUGCGCUGCCAAACUCAAGAAUCAACGACCAGAGGUCGCCUGGGAUCAGGAAUCAGCUCGACAAGGAUGUAGAUAACAUUGGAGCACGAGGGCGGAUCGCCGGCCUGGGAAUCUGUAGGAGCAGAGAGCGAUACAGCAAGGACGCUGUAGGCGUGAUGAGACCACUGAUGCCUUUUCCUAGAUGUUGUGCAUGCAAAUAGAGAAUAAACUUCAGGCGUACCCUUCCACUCGAAGGUCAAAACUGGGAAUAGUCUUCUUGUCCACGUGAAUCCGAUUUUCAAAUAAAUGAUUACCCGAU
rnacentral:misc_RNA from 1 species